GGAGAGGUGUCCGAGUGGUUUAAGGAGCACGCCUGGAAAGUGUGUGUACGGUCUAAAACCGUACCGAGGGUUCGAAUCCCUCUCUCUCCGCCA
rnacentral:tRNA from 1 species